GCGCGACCCCCCGCGCCCCCCCCCCCGCCCCGCGCGGCCCCCCUCGCCGCCCAGCGCAGCCAUCCGCCGCCGCCCCGCGGCCCACCGGCGCCGGCCCCGCGGGACCCUGCCGCCGCCCCGGGUGAGGGGAGGGAAAGCAGGUUGAUUAAGGUCGAGAGAGAUGGGGAGGGGAAAGAUUGUGAUCCGCAGGAUCGACAACUCCACGAGCAGGCAGGUGACCUUCUCCAAACGCCGGAACGGGAUCUUCAAGAAGGCGAAGGAGCUCGCAAUCCUCUGCGAUGCAGCAUGAAAUUUGCACGAUCUCCAAGCGCCGGAACUGUUUAUUUUCUCUUCUUCCUUAUUUGAUCUAUCAAAAUUUCUUUAUCGUUUGUGUACAAAACUUGUACACUAAUUUGGUCGUUUAUGUGUAUUACCAUUGGUGCUGUGUGCAGCAUGAAAUCAGUGAUAGAUCGGUAUGGCUAGGCCAAGGAAGAGCAGCAGGUUUUCGCAAAUCCCAACUCGGAGCUUAAGAUUCGGGUAUUCUUCUCUGUUCCUGGGAGUUCUGUUGCAGAUAAUGAUGUACCAGAUUCUUUUUACAAUCUUAGCGGAGAGGAGAUAAGAAAUGAAGCAAGGAUGAGAAGGGAAAGUUUUGGCAAAGGGAGGCAGCAGGCACAAUGCAGGAGUAUUUCUCGAGACAAGAUCACAUGCUGUAGAUUCCCAAUACGAAUUAUUAUGUGAAAGGCUAGGCACCAAAAUACUUAAGACAACAUAGAAUUGGACACCUAGAAAAUAUUCGAUGUAAACAAACAAAAUAAAGACUAUUCCCAGUUAACUUGUUAUGGAUGCUUAUGGAUGAUUACGACUUUCUGGUUUCUAUUAUGCA